UUAGGAUUAAAGAAAAAAAAGAAAUUAAAAUAAAAACAAAUAUGAAAAUAUCCCAACCCUAAAAAAAAAAAAUAAAAAAAAUAAAAAAAUCCAAAACCCACCUCUUUAACCGAUCAUCAACAACGCUCCAUUGUUUUCCCUUCUCUCUCGCUCUCUGUCGCUCUCUCUGAGUUCACCCACCGACCCUCUUAUUAUUAUCUUUUCCUACUUCGUUUACCAGUUUUCUCUUUCUCUUCCCUCGUUCCCCACUAGGUUUCUCUGUAUUCCUUUUUGUUUUUGGUUUUUUUUUUGGUGAUUUUAUUUCCCAAAAAUCCAAAUUUUCUUUAGGGUUUCCUAUUCCUGAUCUCCUUCGGUUUCGUAAUUUUUCUUCAAUCUCUAUCUGUUUGUCAGUUUUUUUUUUUUUUUUUAAAAAAAAAAUCUAUAAACUAUGUAUUACCCAGAUUUAAUUUUGUUGUGAUUCUCUUUCCCUUCAUGGAAUUACAGGGGUGGUUCAAACUUUGAAUCUUGGUGUGUAACCUUUUUCGUUUCAGGUUGAUUUCUUCUAGAGUUUCGUGAGUGUCGUAAAUUAUCCUUCCGGGUUCUUAAAAUUAGCUUCUUUCUAUUUUUUUAUUUUUAUUUUUUUUUUUAGGUUUUAAAAUUUUGUUGGGUAAUGAGAUGGUGAGCUCAGAUGGAUUGAUUACUAGGCUGACCCCAUCUUUAGCGGGGGCAAAACAGUACGGCGUGACAAAGCCCAUAUCUACGGCGGAGCCUUCCGAAGCUGAUAUUCAGAAAACUUCAGAGUUAGAGAAGUAUUUGGUUGACGCUGGACUUUAUGAGAGCAACGAGGAAGCUGCCAAGAGAGAGGAGGUUCUAGAGCGAAUUGGACAGAUUGUUAAAGAUUGGGUUAAACAACUCACUCGUUUGAGAGGGUACACAGAUCAGAUGGUUGAGGAUGCAAAUGCUGUCAUUUUUACAUUUGGUUCUUAUCGGCUUGGGGUACAUGGUCCUGGUGCUGACAUAGACACAUUAUGUGUUGGUCCAUCUUAUGUGAAUCGUGAGGAAGACUUCUUCUUUAUAUUGCAUAACAUUCUGUCUGAAAUGGAAGAAGUUACAGAACUACAACCAGUUCCGGAUGCUCAUGUCCCAGUGAUGAAAUUCAAGUUUGAUGGAAUAUCUAUUGAUCUUCUGUAUGCUAGUAUUUCUCUCUUGGUGGUACCAGAAGAAUUGGACAUCUCUGAUGUGUCCGUAUUGUACAAUGUCGAUGAGCCUACCGUUCGAAGUCUUAAUGGUUGCAGGGUUGCAGAUCAAAUUCUGAAGCUUGUUCCAAAUGUUGAGCAUUUUCGUACCACACUAAGGUGCUUGAAGUUUUGGGCCAAAAGGCGUGGUGUAUAUUCUAAUGUGACGGGAUUUCUUGGUGGUGUGAAUUGGGCACUUCUUGUUGCCCGAGUUUGCCAGCUUUAUCCUAAUGCUGUUCCAAGUAUGCUGGUUUCCCGAUUUUUUAGGGUCUAUACACAGUGGCGAUGGCCAAAUCCUGUUAUGUUAUGUGCUAUAGAAGAGGAUGAACUUGGAUUUUCCGUUUGGGACCCUCGGAAAAAUCCACGUGAUCGAACUCACCAUAUGCCAAUUAUAACUCCUGCCUACCCUUGCAUGAACUCUAGCUACAAUGUUUCAACAAGUACCCUCCGUGUUAUGAUGGAGCAGUUUCAGUAUGGUAACAAGAUUUGUCAGGAGAUAGAACUUAAUAAAGCCCAGUGGAGUUCUCUGUUUGAGCCUUACUUGUUCUUUGAAAGCUAUAAAAACUAUCUCCAGGUUGACAUAGUUGCAGCUGAUGUUGAUGAUUUACGUGCUUGGAAAGGCUGGGUGGAAUCCCGGCUGAGGCAACUUACUUUAAUGAUUGAACGGGACACUUUUGGCAAGCUGCAGUGCCAUCCUUAUCCACAUGAGUAUGUUGAUACAACCAAACAAUGUGCUCAUUGUGCCUUUUUUAUGGGUCUGCAGAGGAAACAAGGUGAAAAAAUCCAGGAAGGUCAGCAAUUUGAUAUACGAGGGACCGUGGAUGAAUUUAGGCAUUCUAUUAAUAUGUAUCUGUUUUGGAAACCGGGGAUGGAAAUUUAUGUUUCUCAUGUUCGUAGAAAGCAGAUUCCUUCUUAUGUGUUUCCAGAUGGUUAUAAACGACCUCGUCCAUCUAGGUUUACAACCCAGCAGGCUGAUAAAUCGUCUCGUGAAGAUAGUGAAAUUCAUGGCACAGUAUCUGGUGAGAGAUACCUGAAGAGGAAAAAGGAUCCUGGUGGGUUGGAUGAUAGCCUUUGUACACCUGGAAAACGGCAAUCUAUCAGUCCUAAGCGGGAAGAUUCAAUUUCUCCUGAGCUUAUUGGUCAUAAAUUAAGCAGUGCUUCUCGUGACUAUUUGGCUUCUCGUCUGGAGCAGAUAGAAACAACUAUUGAAAGUGGUAAGGCAUGUCAAGUCAACAGUGGGCUGGUUUCUGAAGGCUUGCAUGCAGGAACUCGCAUGGUUGUCGGAGAAAUGAGAUGGUUGGAUGGUCAUAAAGGGUCUGAUAUGGAGCCAAUGGUUCCAAAUAAAAGGAUACCAUGCCCAGAAACUGAGCCUGGGUGUGCUUCAAAUUCAAGUGUUGUCACAAACAUUACCAGUGAUGGCAGUUCUUGUGAGGAUGUUGGAUUUGAAUCUCUGGCCGGCAAUGGUGAGGUCAACACUGGGUGUUCUGAAGGCAGUGUUCAAGGAAUUGAUAAUCCAAUAUCAUUGCCAGGUGAUUCGUGUGAGGCAGAGUCUGAACUACUAUUGAAAACUGGUGUGGAAGGCAAUCGAGUGUUUCAAGACGGAUCGCAGGAAACAUUAGAGCCAAAAGCUGCACUCGGGAUGACACUUGAUUCCAGCAGUGGAGUCACCUCAGAAGCUGUUCAGAAGCCAGUGAUGAGGGUUAGUCUAACAUCAACAGCAUGAGUGAAGAAAGUAUGAGCCAGUCUAAAUUGUGAAACCAAUGUUGACUUUGGAGGGGAAGAGACAGAAAGCCAGCAGUUCGGGUGGGAUCAAACUGAAGAGCUCUCUGGUCCUGAAACUUGGCCAUGUUCCGGAAGGGUAAAAAUGGAAAAAGAAAAAAAAUAAACGAAAAAAGAAAAGGAGAAAAAAGAGAGAGAGAGAGGGGCCCAAACUUUCUUAUUAUUGUACAGUUGUGAAUUAUGCUGUUCUGCAUUUACCAUGAGUUCCCUAUUCAAGAGAAAUAGGUAGGAUGCUCUCUGAACCAGGCAGGCAGUGAUGUUUUUUUUUUUUUUUUUUUCUGUGUUUAAUAUACUGUUCCUUUUCUGGUGGGAAUGUUAUAAGUGUGCGGGUGUCUUUCUUUCCGUAGCACAGUAAGUGUGGAUUGCGGAGCGUCUGUAGGCUUUGAUGCUCAGAAAGGGUUGGGUGGUUAAUUUAAACUGACUGGGGACUAUGGUGUGUUUGGGUGUGACCGCAGUUUGUUGUGUGCUUACCCCAUUCAACUUGUGUACAUUUUUGUGCCCCUGUAAUGACAAAUUUGAUCUCUCUCUCUC